UUUACUAGUCAUUUUUUUUUCUGGUUAGAAAAAUCUAUGAAAGUUUGACGUAAAAACUUUAAUUUAACACAAUAAUAAUGAAGUCAUCAGGUUCCAGGAACAUUACUAGGUUCCAGGAACAAUACUAGGUUCCAAGAACAAUAUUAGGCUCAAAAAACAAUGUCAGGUUCUAAGAACAGUAGCAGGUUUCAAGAAAAAUAUAAUGUUCCAGAAACAUUGAUAAGUUCCAAGAACAAUAUAAGGUUCUGGGAACAAUAGUAGAUUCUAAAAACAAUAUCAGGUUCCAAGAAUAGUUUCAGGUUUUAAGAGCAGUACCAGGUUUCAAAAACAAUAUAAGGUUCCGGGAACGAUAGUAAGUUUUAAGAACAGUAUCAGGUUCCAAGAACAAUAUAAGUUUCGAGAACAAUAGUAGGUUCUAAGAACAGUAUCAGAUUCCAAGAACAGUCACUGGUUCUAAGGAUAGUGUCAGGUUUUAAGAGCAGUACCAGGUUUCAAGAACAAUAUAAGGUUCCGGGAACAAUAGUAGAUUCUAAGAACAGUAGUACCAGGUUCUAAGAACAAUAUUAGGUUCCAAGAACAGUCACUGGUUUUAAAAACAGUGUCAGGUUCUAAGAUCAGUACGAGGUUUCAAGAAAAAUAUCAUGUUCCAGGAACAUUACUAGGUUCCAAGAACAAUAUAAGGUUCCGGGAACAAUAGUAGGCUUAAAAAACAAUGUCAGGUUCCAAGAACAGUCACCGGUUCUAAGAACAGUUGUCAGGUUCUAAGAACAGUACCAGGUUUCAAGAAUAAUAUCAUGUUCCACGAACAUUACUAGGUUC